CAUAAUUGUUGAUACUUCUGGUGGAUGAUGUUCAAUUUAUACAUAUAUAAAUUAUAAACAAACCAAAUUGAAGUACUAGAAGCAAUAAGAGUAUCUGUUCCUGUGUAUUUCCAAGUUUCUGUUUUCCAAGAAGCAUAUUAAUUAAAUGAACAAAACUGUGUCCAAGAAAUAAUCUAUUGCAUAGAGGAUUUAAUCAAGACAAAAUUGGUGAUGCUGUAAUCACAAAGUUCCAUGCAGGAAUCAAUGGUUAUUGCUAAAAUAUGUUAUUGGUGUAUUGUCAAUUUUAUUUACUUAUAUAUUACGUUAUUUAAUCUCAAUAAUUUUAGGCUGGAAAUAAUAUACACUUUGGAACAAUUGAAGUAAAUAAAUGAAUUAAUAUAAUACAUACAUUACAUACAAAGAAGUAAUGUAUAAUUUUGGAAAAAGCUGUAUUAAUCACUUUCGAAAAUCAUAAUUGUUUUUUUUUAGUAAGACGCAGAACUUAGACAAAUAAUUUAGGUUUGUUAUUAUUUAAAUGUAAUAAGUACAGAUUUAGACUCUUGAACCAGGCAUAGUAUAUUGAUUAGUAGGGUCCACAGUAAAAAAUAUUUUGUAAUACCAUUCGAAAGAAAAUACAGACCUAUAUUAUACUGUUUAUAA
rnacentral:lncRNA from 1 species